rnacentral:rRNA from 1 species
UACGUAGGGUGCGAGCGUUAAUCGGAAUUACUGGGCGUAAAGCGUGCGCAGGCGGUUUUGUAAGCCAGAUGUGAAAUCCCCGGGCUUAACCUGGGAAUGGCAUUUGGGACUGCAAGGCUCGAGUGCGGCAGAGGAGACUGGAAUUCCUGGUGUAGCAGUGAAAUGCGUAGAUAUCAGGAGGAACACCGGUGGCGAAGGCAGGUCUCUGGGCUGACACUGACGCUCAUGCACGAAAGCGUGGGGAGCAAACAGG